rnacentral:rRNA from 1 species
AUGCAAAAACAUGAGAGUUUGGACCUCGACUCGAAGACGCGAGCGUCCGAGCUUGCUGCGGCCCUUAAAACUGCCAAAUCUGCCAAGGCUGAAGCCCAGAAGGCCCUCCAGGAAUUGGAUGCGGUGAAAAAGAUAGCGGCGGGGGCAUUCGCAGAUCUUCCCCGCAGCGUAUCCGAUGCCGCCGCAUUCUACCGAGCCGAGGAAGGCAGCUCGACGGAGAAGGUGUUCUGGUCUCAGUACGCUGAGGCCGGACACCCUGUGCCCUUGAGCGACCAGCUAAAGCAGCUGGUCGAGCUCCACAAGGCGGCCGAACAGGCCCUGAAGGGCUUCAUAGUUCGGCUGUGGCCUAGAGAGGCCCUGCCUGGGAGCUACUUCGGACUGGUGCGGCGGCUGGUGGAGGCUUGUCCAAGGCUCGAGGUCAUCAAGCGCUCCUUCUGCAUCGAAGGUGCCCAUAGGGCCCUUGCCCGUGCAAAGGUGCAUUGGGGUAAGCUGGACGGUGAGAAGCUUGUGAAGGACGGGCCGCCGCCAGGGAAGGAGCAUCGCAAGCCCGAGAACUAUUACAAGGAUGUUCUUGCUGGUGCCCGCCUUGUGGCGGAUGAAUGUACCAAGGAUGUAAUUUUUGAAUGA